rnacentral:rRNA from 1 species
AACGUAGGAGACGAACGUUAUCCGGAGUUACUGGGCGUAAAGGGUGCGUAGGCGGGUCUUUAAGUCAGGGGUGAAAUCCUGGAGCUCAACUCCAGAACUGCCUUUGAUACUGAGGAUCUUGAGUUCGGGAGAGGUGAGUGGAACUGCGAGUGUAGAGGUGAAAUUCGUAGAUAUUCGCAAGAACACCAGUGGCGAAGGCGGCUCACUGGCCCGAUACUGACGCUGAGGCACGAAAGCUAGGGUAGCAAACGGGG